rnacentral:rRNA from 1 species
UGGGGAAUAUUGGACAAUGGGCGCAAGCCUGAUCCAGCAAUGCCGCGUGUGUGAAGAAGGCCUGCGGGUUGUAAAGCACUUUGAGCGGGAAAGAAGGCUCCGGGGCCAACACCCCCGGGGAUUGACGUUACCCGCAGAACAAGCACCGGCUAACUCCGUGCCAGCAGCCGCGGUAAUACGGAGGGUGCGAGCGUUAAUCGGAAUUACUGGGCGUAAAGCGCACGUAGGCGGCCCGCCAAGUCAGCCGUGAAAGCCCCGGGCUCAACCUGGGAACGGCGGUUGAUACUGGCGAGCUAGAGUGUGGCAGAGGGUGGCGGAAUUUCCGGUGUAGCAGUGAAAUGCGUAGAGAUCGGAAGGAACACCAGUGGCGAAGGCGGCCAUCUGGGCCAACACUGACGCU